rnacentral:rRNA from 1 species
AGAUUACCCGCUGAAUUUAAGCAUAUCACUAAGCGGAGGAAAAGAAACU